rnacentral:rRNA from 1 species
CAGCAGCCGCGGGAAUACGAAGGGUGCAAGCGUUACUCGGAAUUACUGGGCGUAAAGCGUGCGUAGGUGGUGGUUUAAAUCCGUUGUGAAAGCCCUGGGCUCAACCUGGGAACUGCAUUUGAAACUGUCAGGCUGGAGUCUUGUAGAGGGGGGUGGAAUUCCAGGUGUAGCGGUGAAAUGCGUAGAGAUCUGGAGGAAUACCGGUGGCGAAGGCGGCCCCCUGGACAAAGACUGACGCUCAGGUGCGAAAGCGUGGGGAGCAAACAGGAUUAGAUACCCCGGUAGUCCCUGUCUCUUAUAC